GCAGACACUUGGGGUCUGGACGCAACGGAGGCGGGAGCGUGAACGCCCCUCCAGCCUUCGAGUCGUUCUUGCUCUUCGAGGGCGAGAAGAAGAUCACCAUUAACAAGGACACCAAGGUACCCAAUGCCUGUUUAUUCACCAUCAACAAAGAAGACCACACACUGGGAAACAUCAUUAAAUCACGUGCCUGCUUCCCCUUCGCCUUCUGCCGUGAUUGUCAGUUUCCUGAGGCCUCCCCAGCCACGCUUUCUGUACAGCCUGCAGAACUGACAGCCACAGUGUGGAAGACCCUGUGCCCCUUCUGGGGUGAGGAGUACCAAGUGCACCUGCCGCCCACCUUCCACGCUGUGGCUUUCUACGUCAUGGAUGAGGAUGCCCUCAGCCGGGACGACGUUAUCGGAAAGGUCUGCCUUACAAGGGACACCAUAGCUUCUCACCCUAAGGAUCAUGAAGAAGUCAUGCUACCCACGCUGGAAUGAGACGUUUGAAUUUGAGCUGCAGGAGGGGGCCGUGGAGGCGCUGUGCGUGGAGGCCUGGGACUGGGACCUUGUCAGCCGAAACGACUUCCUGGGCAAAGUGGUGAUCGAUGUCCAGAGACUGCGGGUGGCGCAGCAGGAGGAGGGCUGGUUCCGGCUGCAGCCCGACCAGUCCAAGAGCCGGCAGCAUGACGAGGGCAACCUGGGCUCCUUGCAGCUGGAGGUGCGGCUGCGGGACGAGACGGUGCUGCCCUCCAGCUACUACCAGCCACUGGUGCACCUGCUGUGCCACGAGGUCAAGCUGGGCAUGCAGGAUAAGCUGAGACUCCUCAGGAUGUGGUUCUGCAGCAGAUGAGGUGCGAACAAAGCCUGCUCUGCCCUGGGCACCCAGGAUGGCACUGAGUUCUAAAAGGCAAAGGGUAUGUGGUGAGGGGCCAGGCUGAGGCCCUGGUGUGGUACCAUCAUGGGCAGCAGCACCAUUUGAGGCCGGGUAGGAGAGACGUGCAGGGCCUGGCCCCCCAAGAGACCAGCAGACAAACUGAGGCGGCAGAGAGAGAGAUUCCAGUGUCACCAGGAAGACUGCAGAUCAUAACAACAAUGGUUGCUGAUUUGGCAUCAAAGAGGUGGCACUGUCAAAGCCGUAAUUGCUGAAAAUGGCACCAACAUGCUGCAGCUGGAGAGAGUGGGUGACCAACAUUUGUUUGAAGAACAGAUGAUGCUCUUUGAAUGGCUCAGCCAACAGCCCAAAGUUUUAAGGGAAGACCUCUCUGCCAGCUUCUCUUGGACAGUGUCUCAUGUAAAACCUCCAAGGCACUUACAUAGCAUAUUUUUGUGUCCACUCUCUUGCUAGUCUGUUGUACCUGGAAUAAAAAAGCAGAGGAAGUGACACCCUCACUUGAAAUGGUCACUUCCCUUCAAUGUGCUGCAGAGAACAGGACUGAUGUGGGGAAUGCUGCUGCUGCUGCUUGUCAAACAUCUACGGCUGAUGGGUGAGUGGAAUAAAGGCUUUCCCUGGAGCAGGAGCACAUCAGACAUGGCUGUAAACCCCCAGCUGGGUGAACCCCUCAUGUGUAAACCCCAAACUGUUGAUUCUCCAUAACUAUCUGCUGUGGAAGAUUUAAUAAUGCAACAGACUUCCUCCCUUUCUUUCUCCUGUCCUACAAUAUGGAUGCAGGGAGGACAGAGAAGAGACACACAAAGGUCAGUUUGUACUAGUUACAGGCCGUCCAGCACACAAACUCCAGAACAAGGGCUUGGGAAUCUGCCUACCGGGGUGUGCAUCAGUACAGUCCUCAGCAGCUGUUCCGCCCCUCUGUGUCCUGGCUUUUUUGAUUGCUUGCCAUGGGGAAAGUAUCUGCCUUGUGUGCUUGUGGGGAAACUAGAGAAGUCUGUAUGUAAAGCACAUGGAGCAGGCCAGGCAUCCAUUGAAGACUAUGCAGGUGUGUGCACUUACUCUCAUCAUUGUAAUGACACUUGAUGCUAUGAGACUAUAAAUUAGAGAGAUUUAUAGUUACAAGAGGCACUGAAAAAAAAUCACUUUUGGUAUGUCUAAAAUAUCUUGUAAAAAGUGUUAAAAUAAACAAACCCAGUCAAUUAAAAA
rnacentral:lncRNA from 1 species